GUCCCCAUCGUCUAGAGGCCUAGGACAUCGCCCUCUCACGGCGGUAACGGGGGUUCGAAUCCCCCUGGGGACGCCA
rnacentral:tRNA from 1 species